AUGAAUCAUGCUAUCAACAUUUCAUCAUUCAAAAUUAACACAAAUAAAUGCGGCAUUGACAUCAAAACUUCACUCAAGUUUACCACAGAUAACACAUAUAACAUGUAUCGACAUCAAAAUCCAUUAUUUAGUUUUAACACAAAUGACCUGAAACAAACACUGACAUUAACUUUAUUCAAUUUUAACACUAACAAAGUGAUAAUGACAUCAGAAUUUCAUUCAGAUUUAACAUAA